AAGACAAUUUACAAUACAGGUUUGAAGCCUUCAUACAUAAAAUUGACUGGUCUAGAGUUUUACUACAUACCAGUAUUUACACAGGGGUAACCUGUCAAACAAAUGAGUAUACCAACUACCUAAAGACUUAAGGGAAUGUUUUUGUAUAUAGAUAUACUUAAAGACUUCAGAAACCAGUCAUGCCAAAAAUGAAAGAAACCAAAACCCACCAAAAAAAAAAAAAAUCACAGCCUUAAAACCUCAUUAAGGCCUUUGUGACUAUUUAUGACUAUUUUGUGACUUUUUAUUUGUUUAUUGCUUAGCUCAGCUCUAAGCGUUUAGACUAAUAUUUUUCACAGCACAUAUCUGUGUCAAGAUGAAUUUGCUUGUAGGUAAUGCAUUUGUAUAAUUUUCCUUCCAAGCUCUUGCUCAGUCUGGGGCUAGGAAGAGGCGGAUCCGGGCUAGAAUACAAUGGAUGUGCUAGGUGUAUGGCCACAGAAAUUCACGCCAGCUCUGCAGGAGCAGCCUAGAUUAUGAGGCUUCAGAGGUUCCUGGAGCCUACAGCAGCCCCUUGGCAAUAUUCAGCAUUUAGACUGCGAAUUGUCCUUUGUCUUCCAGGAGCAAAAAUACUCCCAGGCAGAUUCUGGGUUUAGCCUGAACUGGGAGGUCUCCAGCCCAGGGCUGUCAACACCAAGAUUGGCCAACAUGUGCUCUCAGGAUUUCAGCACACAGACC